UGAAGGAGCUGGAAACUUUCCACAAAGAGAGGUGCUUGGAAUUCAAACCCCCAAGAUUUUAUGGAGAGCCAUUAAAUUGCCUCAAGUUAUGGAGAGCAGUCAUCAGACUUGGUGGCUAUGAACAGGUGACUUCCAAAAACGAUCAAGCACAAGGCUGAUGCUUCAAAACCAUAUAUAUUCCUUCCUGUUGUAGAAUUUUU